rnacentral:rRNA from 1 species
GACGUAGGGUGCAAGCGUUGUCCGGAUUUAUUGGGCGUAAAGAGCUCGUAGGCGGCUUGUUGCGUCGACUGUGAAAACCCGCGGCUUAACCGCGGGCUUGCAGUUGAUACGGGCAGGCUCGAGUUCGGUAGGGGAGACUGGAAUUCCUGGUGUAGCGGUGAAAUGCGCAGAUAUCAGGAGGAACACCGGUGGCGAAGGCGGGUCUCUGGGCCGAUACUGACGCUGAGGAGCGAAAGCGUGGGGAGCGAACAGG